CACAGCUAAGGCUGCUGCACAGAGAAACCCGGUCUCAAAACAAAAACAAAGGGGGCGGAGGUGGUCCUGUAAAUUCUCACGGUGAACUUCAAUUCUAUAUUUAGCCAGUCAUUAAAAAGCAAACCAAACCAAGCCAUCAGCAUGCCUGUGGUACUGCGUACUUCAGUACUCACACUGCUAACUGAAAUUGCAGUGGAACUGGGUAUCCUACUUAUUUGCUGAAUAUGGCUACCUCGCUCAGGCAGGAGGAGCAGGUGCCUUUGUCUUUGAGUCACAGGCAACAGGUAUGCAUUCAAAUAGGCUGGUAGAGAAAACCAAGGAAAGUGUAAUUUGCUCAGUGCAACAGUAGCUAGUGAGUUAAAAACACGCAGAGCGUUUUUAUUUUUUAGAAACAGAACCCUUCUAGUUUCACAUGUGCAGUCCUAAAGCCCAUCCCGGGCUCGGAAACCAGGUAGGGCAGCUUGGGUCGCCAGCCUUCCCUGCCGGUUUCCCAGUAAGCUGGCUCCGCCUAGUUGCAGCUCCGCGGUACCCGCCGGAGCCAAGCCGGAAGUUGCUCAGGCUGCCUCUGCUGCUCAAGAUCUCAUGGAUCACGUAGUCUAGGCUGGCUUCAGAUUUGCUGUGUGGCUGAGGAUGACCCUGGACCUCUGACCUUGCCACCUUCAUCUGGUGACGUGUCCUCACUUGGGAAUGGCGGCUCCCCAGAUCACCCUCAGUGUCCUUGUGAUUGCCUUGCUCACUUGCUCUGUGACUGCUUAUCCCAAUGGCAAAGUACCAAUGUCCUGUGGUGGGAUGAUCCCCCAACAUAACCACAGCCCACAGUCUGAGCCUAUUCACCAAAUCACAGUGAGUCAGACGACGUUCAAACCUGGAGACCAGAUCAAAGUUACUUUAUCAGGACCACCAUUUAGAGGCUUUCUUUUGGAAGCUCGUGAUGCUGAGAAUUUGAGCGGCCCUCCUAUUGGCUCCUUCACUCUGAUUGACAGCGAAGAGUCACAACUUCUGACCUGUACCGAUGUACAGGGAUUAGCUGUGAGUCAUACAAGGUCAUCCAAGAAGACAGAAAUUAAAGUCUACUGGGAUGCUCCAAGCCCUGCCCCAGAUCACAUACGAUUUCUAGCUACAGUUGUUCAGAAAUUUAAAAUCUACUGGGUGAAGAUUCCGAGUCCCGUAAUUUCCCAACCAAAUGCUCCUCCCUUUACGACACCUAAAGCUACAACCCAACCUUUGACAACGCCACCUUCUGUCUCACACUUAACCAAACCAUUCAGUGCCUUCGAGUGUGGGAACAAGAAGUUCUGUGUCAGGAGUCCUUUGAACUGUGAUCCAGAGAAGGAGCCUGCAUGCGUCUUCCUGUCCUUCACCAGAGACAACCAGUCAGUGAUGGUUGAAAUGAGCGGACCCAGUGACGGCUAUGUGUCGUUUGCAUUUUCUCACGACCAGUGGAUGGGUGACGAUGAUGCUUACUUGUGCAUCCGUGAGGACCAGACAGUAGAUAUACAGUCUUCCUACUUGACAGGGAGAAGUUAUCCUGUGAUGGACUCCAGGGGGACUCUGGAGGACAUGGCCUGGAGGCUGGCGGACAGCGUCAUACAGUGUUCAUUCAGAAGAAACAUCACCCUUCCUGAGGCUAAGAACAGAUUUGUGCUGAAUGAGAGCUACUACAUAUUCUUCGCAGAAGGCCCGUCUCACGACGGCCGAAUAUUUAGGCACUCUCAGCAACCUUUGAUAACAUAUGAAAAAUACAACGUAACAGACACUCCAAAGAGUGUAGGAGGGUCCCGCUCCUCACCCCUUUUGAAGGCUCAUGGUGCCUUAAUGUUUGUGGCAUGGAUGACCACGGUCAGCAUUGGAGUCCUGGUUGCCCGGUUCUUCAGAUCUGUUUGGUCGAAAGCUUUCUUCCUCAGGGAAGCAGCUUGGUUUCAGGUGCAUCGGAUGCUCAUGGUAGCUACCUCCCUGCUCACCUGCGUUGCUUUUGUUUUGCCCUCUGCUGGCAACCUUCAGACCACCUUUACACGACCCAAGGAGGCAAGUGUUUAACUGGACUCACUGGAGUGUGGGGACAGCCGCUAGAAUAAUAGCAGUGGCAGCAAUGUUCCUAGGAAUGGAUUUGCCAGGACUGAAUCUUCCCAGUCCACAGAAGACCUACGCAAUGAUGGGCUUUGUGGUCUGGCACAUCGGGACUGAGGUCAUUCUGGAGAUACAUGCUUACCGUCUCUCUAGAAAAGUUGAAAUACUGGACAACGAUAGGAUUCAAAUCCUUCAGUCACUGACUGUCGCAGAAGCAGAGGGUCAUGUUUUUAAGAAGGUGGUGUUGGCCGUUUACAUAUGUGGGAAUGUGAUUUUUCUCUCGAUAUUCUUAUCUGCAAUCAACCACAUAUGAGCACAAAAAGACUUUUAUUUUUUAUUUUUUGUGGGCCUGGGUCAUGAUGAUCAUUAAAAUGAGGAGAGACCUGAAGCUUGUGCCGACCACCUGCAGCACCUACUAAGUCCGAAGACCCAUGGGCAUCGCUAUCGAGGAACGCUGAAGUCUGGGUUUCCCAGCUCACAUUCAAGUGGGCUAAAUAACCUGGGCCUUUAUGUGUAAUUCUGCAUCCCUAAGGGAACAUUGUACCUGAGAUGACAUGACUCUCAGCAUCUCAUGCCAGAUUUAAAACUGUAAACUGGAAUGGAUAGCAGAUGAAGACAAUUAUCUCAGGCAAAAAAAAAAAAAAAAAAAAAAAAGAAAGAAAGAAAGAAAGAAAGAAAGAAAAAAGAGAAAAGAAAGAAUAAAUGGAGAUUGUGUCUUUGGGAAUGAGACAGGUUUGGUGUAGCCCAGGCUGGCCUUUAACCAGUUGUAUAACCAAAGAUAACCCUGAACCUCUGAUCUGCCUGCCUCUGUUUCCUGGGUGGUUUACAGGUGUGCACCACUAUAUCUGGUUUUAAGGGAACUGUAAUUUUCAUGACGAUGCUGCUAUGGUACUUUAAAGACUACAUUUAUGUUUGACUAGUUUAUUUAAAAGAUUUUGUCUUAGAGUUUAAAAAAAAAUUACUACAUUUUGAUUUUAUGCGCACACACACACAGACACACAGACACACACACACACAGACACACACACACACACACACACACACCAAACAAGUAAAACCUACAAGAAAAAAAACUAAACACGUUUUCCGACCAGCAGUUAGGAGAUUUUCUCCUUUGUGUUCAGUAUUUCUGUCUAAAGGUAGCUGUUGAUUUAUUCAGUGGGCAUUUCCUUAACAUGUAGUUAUAUUACGGAUACUAUAUUUCCUUUAGCAGUUAAAUGCAGGUAGGUGCCCCUGAUUAGAGAUCUCAUUUAUUUUUCCUUUGUGGAGCUGAAACGACAUCUUAUGUCCUGUUUCAGCCGUGAGAUCAGUCCUUAUAGGAGCUAGAACAAAGCUGCGAAUCUCUCAGUUGCUAAACCUCACCCUUGUGAACGGAUCCAGCAAGUGUUCUUGUCUCUUGAAGAUACACUAACAUGGAUGGGUUCCUUUGGAAGACAUCCCUGGUGCUCUAGUGACAGCACAGGCCGUGUGUUUCCUCCUACUCCGUAUUUUCUAUCUCUGCUGUGAGGACUUACAGCCAGUGGGUGGCGCUGUAAUACCGGAGGACUCAUUUGUUCUGUUGCCACUAAGUGUUUUUAUUAUGGGACUAUUUCCUUACAUCAUAUGCUCUGAAUUCUCUCUCUCUCUCUCUCUCUCUCUCUCUCUCUCUCUCUCCCUCCCUCCCUCCCUCCCUCUCCCUCUCCCUCUCCCUCUCCCUCUCCCUCUCCCUCUCUCUCUCUCUCUCUCUCUCUCUCUCUCUCUCUCUGUAAUAGGUGCUAGAAACUUAAUGACUGGUGUUAAUACUUUCUGACUUAACUUUUAUUUGUUUUCUUUGAUUAUUUAUAAUGACUGUUUGAUAUUUUCUUUUGUAUCCUUCUGACCCUGCUGCAAAUGAAGAUAAUUUUCUUAGGCAAAGGAAACAAGCAAAAUAAUUGGUAGAAUAUAUUUUAUUUUUCAGAUACUUUUUCAGCUGAUGAUAUCAUUUCUGCUUGGCCCCAGAACCCCAUCUUCAUCUCUGAGUAAUGACCCCAGCUCCAUGCUUUUAUUUCUAACCAAUAAAGUGAAAACGUUCUGAUUUUCUCUACAUAGAUUUUAGCUAAAAAUAGCACAGGGUUCAGGUAGGAAUUUCCUGUGCUCAUGGUCAAUGAAUGGCACAUUACGGUUUAUACUAUCCCUUGAGAAUGAAUUUAUUUCAAAAGAAAAAGGUCUGGAGAUGUGGCUCAGUGGCACCGUGCUUGAGCAGAGUGUGUGAAGCCAUGCCUCCAUCCUCACACUGGAGAAAUGACACAGCAACAAUUUAAAUCUAUAUGAAAAAAAUUUCUUUCAGUUUUCCAUUGUAAGCCACUAAAGGCUAAAACAUAUGUCUUAACCAGUCCUGUUCAAUAACAGACAAGGAAAAGUUCUUUUCAGGAAAGGGUUUCCACCUUUUUUGUUAAGGUUUGCUUAGGUACAGUUUGCAGAUAGGUGAACUUGCUGGACUUCUGAUGCCAAGGGCAAUAUAAUGCAUUUUUCAAAAGAAAAAUUUUUUUUAUUAGUCCUUUAAGAUGGAGGUGUACCCUCUCAGAGGUGAAGGGGAGAUGGGAUGAGAGGAGGAACCCUGUGAGGAGAGGCUUGGGGGGGGGGAGCAGCAUUUGGGAUGUAAAUACAUAAAUUAAAUUGAAGAAAAAGGAUUUUACAUAACGGACAGCUGGGUGUGGAUCCCAGAUCUUGGGAGGCAGAGGCAGGAGGAUCUCUGUGUGUUCAAGGCCAAUCUGGUCUAUAAGAGAGUUUCAGGACAGCCAGGGCUGUUACACACAGAAGCCCUGUCUUGGAAAAAGACAACCAUAAAGAGAAAAAAGAGUUUCAUAUAAUGUAUUUUGAUCAUAUUCACCUCAGUUCCACCCACACCUCCCCUAACUUCCCUAAUUCCAAACUGUAUGCCAUAUUAUCAUUAUUUUUUAAAAACAAUUUAUGCUGUCUACACUCUCUGGGUUUCCGGCUGUCCUCCAAGGAGCAAGGUCAAUUUUUUCCAAGCCACACCCUCCCAAAGAAAAUGGACUCACUCCCAUGAGAAGCCAUCAACUGUCCUUAGGUCCUCAGGUAGGGGUGGGGUUAGAGACCCCUUCCCACUCCACGCUAGAAUGUGGAUUAGCUUGGCCUUGCCCAGGCGUUACGCAGGCAGCCACAGUGGCUGUGAGCUCACAGUGAAGAGAUCCUGCCAGCUCCCGAAACAGUUUCCACCCUGUGCCUUUCUUUCCAGCCUCUGGCGCUCUUACAGGCUCUGCGUCUCCUCUGACGCGGUCCCCGGGCUUUGGGAAAGGGUGUGAUAUAGAUGCCGGACUCGUGACUCAUCACUGCACAGAUGCUUUGACCGGCUGUGAGUUCCUGCACAGCAUCUUUUUUACGGAGUGGUAUUUGCUCGGGUUUACUCCUCCAUCAAAGUGUGCAAGGAAACCCGUGCCACUUAAUCUUAGCAUGCCCGUUUCCCUUAGGAACGAACACGUCACGGCUCGUCUGCUCCGUGUGUUUCUCAUUUUUGUAAUAAACAACCUAGGUUUUUUUUUUUUUUUGAAAAAAGUAUUCAUAUACUUUUUUAAAAACAGCAAUUGUUAAACUAAAUGAUUUUUUUCUGUGUCUAGGCAUAUUGUCAAAAACAGUGAAAUCAUGUUCUCUUAAAGAAGGGAUACUCUGCAGAAUAGAGAUUAAUAUAUUUUUCACAGGAUAAAAGAAAUAGUCUGGAAAAUCAUGGUUAAGUUAGCAUGCAGAAACUGAGUCUGUUUUGGUUUUGUUAGCUUCUGGUCUGCGGAGGUCAAGCCAGGGCACAGAUGGCCUAUACCUUUAUUGACUACGUGAAUCACACUCUUGUUAGUACUACUCAAUUUGUGUGAGGAUCUGGGGCUGUAGGUUAGAUGAUAACUCAUCCUUCCCGGAUCCGGCACCAGCCCAGGAGGCUGUGGGAAGGACAGCGCAGCAGAUGCCAACUGGGAAGCCGUGGGGGCCGUGUGGCUCUUGGCUCUAACUCUGUUUAUCUAUGUAUUCUACUGAAGCAGGGGGAAAUGGGGAACAAAGGGCCUUGUUCAAGAUAAUCCAUUAUUAAUGCAACUGGAGAAACGGUUCUUUUAUGUUCUUUAUGAACUGGAUCAGCCUUCUCAAAGCUCCCAUGUCCUUCCUUCCUUGUCUAACCCCGGCCAUACUCAUUCCUAGGCCCACAGCGUUGUGGGUGCUAACCUUUCCAUUCUCAUCCUAGCCAGAACCAGAUUCAUGCUUUCUUUCCUUUCAUCUUCCUGGUUCCUCCUUGUCCUGUUCCCGGCACUGAUCCAUCUUUGUAAGUGGGUGAUGGGAAGGGAGGCAGAUACUACUGUAAGUUAGAAAGGCCCAGGAGCUGGGAGGCCCGAGUAGCCACAGUUACUUCUGAAUUCCAUGUUUGUGGCAAUGGCAUCUGUCUCCUAAGAGUCCUCUUUGUCAUCUUCAACAAUCUAUCCCACUAAACUUCUGAGUGAAAUGAUACCAGCCAAAGGUGCUCGCUUUGUACAUGUUGCUGGUAAGGUCUUUGCCACUUGAUGACGAUGUUAAACUAUAACAGUUUUGCAUGUGAAAUGUGUAUUUUUUUAUUAUUAUAAGAAUAUAUGAUGCUUAUCUUAAAUAUUGUGCUAGAUGAAAUUGUCCAGACACACAGGACAGUUCUUAUAUGAUUCUCAUGUGUGGGAUCCAGCAGGAUCAACUGUGUGGAGAAUUCAGGUCAUUGAGUGGAGCCUGGGUAGCUAGGGGGUGGGAGUUGUUUCUUAACGAGAGUAAAGUUUGUGUCGGGGAAGUGACGAUCGUACAGCGUUCUGAACGUAUUCAACGAACAGUUCUGCACGGAGAGAUGAUUGACAUGGGAAUAAACCAAUAAAAGCUGAGCAAAACGUU